rnacentral:rRNA from 1 species
AACGUAGGACACGAGCGUUAUCCGGAUUUACUGGGCGUAAAGCGCGGGCAGGCGGCGGGCCAAGUCGGAUGUGAAAGCUCCCGGCUCAACCGGGAGAGGCCAUUCGAAACUGGCGUGCUGGAGGGCAGGAGAGGAGCGCGGAAUUCCGGGUGGAGUGGUGAAAUGCGUAGAGAUCCGGAGGAACACCAGAGGCGAAAGCGGCGCUCUGGCCUGCAACUGACGCUGAACCGCGAAAGCCAGGGUAGCGAACGGG